ANNNUUAGAUAGUNGGUAGGGUAACGGCCUACCAAGUCAGNNNNCUUUAGGGGGCCUGAGAGGGUGAUNNNCCACACUGGUACUGAGACACGGACCAGACUCCUACGGGAGGCAGCAGUGAGGAAUAUUGGACAAUGGGUGAGAGCCUGAUCCAGCCAUCCCGCGUGAAGGACGACGGCCCUAUGGGUUGUAAACUUCUUUUGUAUAGGGAUAAACCUUUCCACGUGUGGGAAGCUGAAGGUACUAUACGAAUAAGCACCGGCUAACUCCGUGCCAGCAGCCGCGGUAAUACGGAGGGUGCAAGCGUUAUCCGGAUUUAUUGGGUUUAAAGGGUCCGUAGGCGGAUCUGUAAGUCAGUGGUGAAAUCUCACAGCUUAACUGUGAAACUGCCAUUGAUACUGCAGGUCUUGAGUAAAGUAGAAGUGGCUGGAAUAAGUAGUGUAGCGGUGAAAUGCAUAGAUAUUACUUAGAACACCAAUUGCGAAGGCAGGUCACUAUGUUUUAACUGACGCUGAUGGACGAAAGCGUGGGGAGCGAACAGGAUUAGAUACCCUGGUAGUCCACGCCGUAAACGAUGCUAACUCGUUUUUGGGCUUUAGGGUUCAGAGACUAAGCGAAAGUGAUAAGUUAGCCACCUGGGGAGUACGUUCGCAAGAAUGAAACUCAAAGGAAUUGACGGGGGCCCGCACAAGCGGUGGAUUAUGUGGUUUAAUUCGAUGAUACGCGAGGAACCUUACCAAGGCUUAAAUGGGAAUUGAUCGGUUUAGAAAUAGACCUUCCUUCGGGCAAUUUUCAAGGUGCUGCAUGGUUGUCGUCAGCUCGUGCCGUGAGGUGUUAGGUUAAGUCCUGCAACGAGCGCAACCCCUGUCACUAGUUGCCAUCAUUAAGUUGGGGACUCUAGUGAGACUGCCUACGCAAGUAGAGAGGAAGGUGGGGAUGACGUCAAAUCAUCACGGCCCUUACGCCUUGGGCCACACACGUAAUACAAUGGCCGGUACAGAGGGCAGCUACACAGCGAUGUGAUGCAAAUCUCGAAAGCCGGUCUCAGUUCGGAUUGGAGUCUGCAACUCGACUCUAUGAAGCUGGAAUCGCUAGUAAUCG
rnacentral:rRNA from 1 species